UACGAAGGGGGCUAGCGUUGCUCGGAAUGACUGGGCGUAAAGGGCGCGUAGGCGGCGCAGUCGGUCAGGCGUGAAAUUCCCGGGCUUAACCUGGGGGCUGCGCUUGAUACAGCUGUGCUUGAGUGCGGAAGAGGGUCGUGGAAUUCCCAGUGUAGAGGUGAAAUUCGUAGAUAUUGGGAAGAACACCGGUGGCGAAGGCGGCGACCUGGUCCGUGACUGACGCUGAGGCGCGAAAGCGUGGGGAG
rnacentral:rRNA from 1 species